rnacentral:rRNA from 1 species
CUAAAACGUAUAUUAAAGUUGUUGCGGUUAAAAAGCUCGUAGUUGGAUUUCUGUUGAGAUCGGUCGGUCCCCACUCUGUGGGCGUAUCUGAUAUGGUCUUGGCAUCCUCAUAGGGAACCGGAGGCACUUCACUGUGUGGCCGGGAAUCUAUGACUUUUACUUUGAAAAAUUAGAGUGUUCAAAGCAGGCGCUUCGCCUGAAUAAUGUUGCAUGGAAUAAUGGAAUAGGACCUCGGUUCUAUUUUGUUGGUUUUCGGAACUUGAGGUAAUGAUUAAGAGGGACAGACGGGGGCAUUCGUAUGAUGUGUUAGAGGUGAAAUUCUUGGAUCGCCGUCAGACGAACUACUGCGAAAGCAUUUGCCAAGAAUGUUUUCAUUAAUCAAGAACGAAAGUCAGAGGUUCGAAG